UACAGAGGUCUCAAGCGUUGCUCGGAAUCACUGGGCGUAAAGCGCACGUAGGCGGACUCUUAAGUCGGUGGUGAAAUCCUGGAGCUCAACUCCAGAACUGCCUUCGAUACUGAGAGUCUUGAGUCCGGGAGAGGUGAGUGGAACUGCGAGUGUAGAGGUGAAAUUCGUAGAUAUUCGCAAGAACACCAGUGGCGAAGGCGGCUCACUGGCCCGGUACUGACGCUGAGGUGCGAAAGCGUGGGGAGCAAACAGG
rnacentral:rRNA from 1 species